rnacentral:rRNA from 1 species
AGAGUUUGAUCCUGGCUCAGGAUGAACGCUAGCUACAGGCUUAACACAUGCAAGUCGAGGGGCAGCAUGGUCUUAGCUUGCUAAGGCCGAUGGCGACCGGCGCACGGGUGAGUAACACGUAUCCAACCUGCCGUCUACUCUUGGACAGCCUUCUGAAGGGAAGAUUAAUACAAGAUGGCAUCAUGAGUCCGCAUGUUCACAUGAUUAAAGGUAUUCCGGUAGACGAUGGGGAUGCGUUCCAUUAGAUAGUAGGCGGGGUAACGGCCCACCUAGUCUUCGAUGGAUAGGGGUUCUGAGAGGAAGGUCCCCCACAUUGGAACUGAGACACGGUCCAAACUCCUACGGGAGGCAGCAGUGAGGAAUAUUGGUCAAUGGGCGAGAGCCUGAACCAGCCAAGUAGCGUGAAGGAUGACUGCCCUAUGGGUUGUAAACUUCUUUUAUAAAGGAAUAAAGUCGGGUAUGCAUACCCGUUUGCAUGUACUUUAUGAAUAAGGAUCGGCUAACUCCGUGCCAGCAGCCGCGGUAAUACGGAGGAUCCGAGCGUUAUCCGGAUUUAUUGGGUUUAAAGGGAGCGUAGAUGGAUGUUUAAGUCAGUUGUGAAAGUUUGCGGCUCAACCGUAAAAUUGCAGUUGAUACUGGAUAUCUUGAGUGCAGUUGAGGUAGGCGGAAUUCGUGGUGUAGCGGUGAAAUGCUUAGAUAUCACGAAGAACUCCGAUUGCGAAGGCAGCCUGCUAAGCUGCAACUGACAUUGAGGCUCGAAAGUGUGGGUAUCAAACAGGAUUAGAUACCCUGGUAGUCCACACGGUAAACGAUGAAUACUCGCUGUUUGCGAUAUACAGCAAGCGGCCAAGCGAAAGCGUUAAGUAUUCCACCUGGGGAGUACGCCGGCAACGGUGAAACUCAAAGGAAUUGACGGGGGCCCGCACAAGCGGAGGAACAUGUGGUUUAAUUCGAUGAUACGCGAGGAACCUUACCCGGGCUUAAAUUGCAGAUGAAUUACGGUGAAAGCCGUAAGCCGCAAGGCAUCUGUGAAGGUGCUGCAUGGUUGUCGUCAGCUCGUGCCGUGAGGUGUCGGCUUAAGUGCCAUAACGAGCGCAACCCUUGUUGUCAGUUACUAACAGGUCAUGCUGAGGACUCUGACAAGACUGCCAUCGUAAGAUGUGAGGAAGGUGGGGAUGACGUCAAAUCAGCACGGCCCUUACGUCCGGGGCUACACACGUGUUACAAUGGGGGGUACAGAGGGCCGCUACCACGCGAGUGGAUGCCAAUCCCAAAAACCUCUCUCAGUUCGGACUGGAGUCUGCAACCCGACUCCACGAAGCUGGAUUCGCUAGUAAUCGCGCAUCAGCCACGGCGCGGUGAAUACGUUCCCGGGCCUUGUACACACCGCCCGUCAAGCCAUGGGAGCCGGGGGUACCUGAAGUGCGUAACCGCGAGGAGCGCCCUAGGGUAAAACUGGUGACUGGGGCUAAGUCGUAACAAGGUA